GCUGAGGAGCGAAAGUGUGGGGAGCGAACAGGAUUAGAUACCCUGGUAGUCCACACCGUAAACGUUGGGCGCUAGGUGUGGGAUCCAUUCCACGGGUUCCGUGCCGCAGCUAACGCAUUAAGCGCCCCGCCUGGGGAGUACGGCCGCAAGGCUAAAACUCAAGGGAAUUGACGGGGGCCCGCACAAGCGGCGGAGCAUGCGGAUUAAUUCGAUGCAACGCGAAGAACCUUACCUGGGUUUGACAUACACCCUGCCGCUCCAGAGAUGGGGCUUCUUUUGGGGGUGUACAGGUGGUGCAUGGCUGUCGUCAGCUCGUGUCGUGAGAUGUUGGGUUAAGUCCCGCAACGAGCGCAACCCUCGUCCUAUGUUGCCAGCACGUUAUGGUGGGGACUCAUAGGAGACUGCCGGGGUCAACUCGGAGGAAGGUGGGGAUGACGUCAAGUCAUCAUGCCCCUUAUGUCCAGGGCUUCACGCAUGCUACAAUGGCCGGUACAAAGGGCUGCGAUCCCGUGAGGGGGAGCGAAUCCCAAAAAGCCGGUCUCAGUUCGGAUUGGGGUCUGCAACUCGACCCCAUGAAGUCGGAGUCGCUAGUAAUCGCAGAUCAGCAACGCUGCGGUGAAUACGUUCCCGGGCCUUGUACACACCGCCC
rnacentral:rRNA from 1 species